rnacentral:rRNA from 1 species
UAGAGUUUGAUCAUGGCUCAGGAUGAACGCUGGCGGCGUGCUUAACACAUGCAAGUCGAACGAGGUACCCUUGACAGAGGCUUCGGCCAAUUGAUAGGAAUACCUAGUGGCGGACGGGUGAGUAACGCGUGAGGAACCUGCCUUGGAGUGGGGAAUAACAGUUAGAAAUAGCUGCUAAUACCGCAUAAUGCAACUAAGUCGCAUGGCUUUGGUUGCCAAAGAUUUAUCGCUCUAAGAUGGCCUCGCGUCUGAUUAGAUAGUUGGCGGGGUAACGGCCCACCAAGUCGACGAUCAGUAGCCGGACUGAGAGGUUGGCCGGCCACAUUGGGACUGAGACACGGCCCAGACUCCUACGGGAGGCAGCAGUGAGGAAUAUUGGCCAAUGGGCGCGAGCCUGAACCAGCCAAGUCGCGUGAGGGAUGACGGCCCUACGGGUUGUAAACCUCUUUUGUCGGGGAGCAAAUUCCGCCACGUGUGGCGGAGUCGAGAGUACCCGAAGAAAAAGCAUCGGCUAACUCCGUGCCAGCAGCCGCGGUAAUACGGAGGAUGCGAGCGUUAUCCGGAUUUAUUGGGUUUAAAGGGUGCGUAGGCGGACUGUCAAGUCAGCGGUAAAAUACGGGGGCUCAACCUCCGCCCGCCGUUGAAACUGACGGUCUUGAGUGGGCGAGAAGUAUGCGGAAUGCGUGGUGUAGCGGUGAAAUGCAUAGAUAUCACGCAGAACUCCGAUUGCGAAGGCAGCAUACCGGCGCCCAACUGACGCUGAAGCACGAAAGCGUGGGUAUCGAACAGGAUUAGAUACCCUGGUAGUCCACGCAGUAAACGAUGAAUACUAGCUGUCCGGGGCGAAUGAGCCCUGGGUGGCACAGCGAAAGCGUUAAGUAUUCCACCUGGGGAGUACGCCGGCAACGGUGAAACUCAAGGGAAUUGACGGGGACCCGCACAAGCGGUGGAGCAUGUGGUUUAAUUCGAAGCAACGCGAAGAACCUUACCAAGCCUUGACAUCCUGCCGGCAGCACGUGUAAUGCGUGUUCCCCUUUGGGGCGGCAGAGACAGGUGGUGCAUGGUUGUCGUCAGCUCGUGUCGUGAGAUGUUGGGUUAAGUCCCGCAACGAGCGCAACCCCUACCCUUAGUAGCCAGCGCGUAGCGGCGGGCACUCUAGGGGGACUGCCAGGGACAACCUGGAGGAGGGCGGGGAUGACGUCAAAUCAUCAUGCCCCUUAUGGCUUGGGCUACACACGUGCUACAAUGGUGUCAGCAAAGGGAGGCGAGGCGGCGACGCGGAGCGAACCCCAGAAACGGCACCCCAGUUCGGAUUGCAGCCUGCAACUCGGCUGCAUGAAGCUGGAAUCGCUAGUAAUCGCGGAUCAGAAUGCCGCGGUGAAUACGUUCCCGGGUCUUGUACACACCGCCCGUCACACCAUGGGAGUUGGGAAUGCCCGAAGUCAGUGGCCGAACCGCAAGGGGGGAGCUGCCGAAGGCAGGCCCGAUGACUGGGGUGAAGUCGUAAUCAAGGUAACCGUAA